GAUCAACGCUGGCGGCGUGCCUAACGCAUGUAAGUCGCACGCACGUCCUUCGGGACGUGAGUGGCGAACGGCUGAGGAACACGUACGAACCUGCCCGGACCGUCGGGGAAUAACGCGCGGAAACGCGUGCUAAUACCGCGUACGCUGGAGCAAUCCAGGAAAGCCGCAAGGCGCGGACGGAGGGGCGUUGCGGCCCAUCAGGUAGUUGGCGGGGUAAAAGCCCACCAAGCCGGUGACGGGUUGCNGG
rnacentral:rRNA from 1 species